ACCUACUUGACUCAGCGGUUAGAGUAUCAUUUUCAUACGGCGAGAGUCAUUGGUUCAAAUCUAAUAGUAGGUA
rfam:Nicotiana sylvestris Nsyl_contig135224, whole genome shotgun sequence.